rnacentral:lncRNA from 10 species
AGGUUUGCUGAGCUUAAAGGAGACUGAUUGCUGUUCUGGUAAGAAGCUGGAAGAUGGCCCCAAAUUCUUGAACUCAGCUAAUGCGCCAUCGCUGAUGUGGUUCCUAGCAAGCUCACGUGUGCUGAGAGCUUCUCUGACUAUUCUCCUCCGAGUUGUUUUGCUGUUCAUGAUGUGAGACACACAGUUGCUGUGGGUAUCAUCGAAGCAGUGCCCAAGAAGCCUGCCAGAGCUGGCAAAGUCACUGAGUCUGCCCGGAAAGCUCAGCAGGCUAAAUGA